GCCGAAGUGGUGGAAUUGGCAGACACGCUGUGUUCAGGGCGCAGUGUCCAAAAGACGUGGGGGUUCAAAUCCCCCCUUCGGCA
rnacentral:tRNA from 1 species